rnacentral:rRNA from 1 species
UUUGGCACCUCGAUGUCGGCUCAUCGCAUCCUGGGGCUGAAGUAGGUCCCAAGGGUUUGGCUGUUCGCCAAUUAAAGCGGUACGCGAGCUGGGUUUAAAACGUCGUGAGACAGUUUGGUCCCUAUCUACCGUGGGCGCAGGAUACUUGAGAAGAGCUGUCCUUAGUACGAGAGGACCGGGAUGGACGUACCGCUAGUGUUCCAGUUGUGUCGCCAGACGCAGUCGCUGGGUAGCCACGUACGGAAAGGAUAACCGCUGAAAGCAUCUAAGCGGGAAGCCUCCUUCAAGAUUAGGUAUCCCUGGGUGUAACAACCCCUGAAGGCCUGUUGUAGACCACAACUUUGAUAGGCCGGGUGUGUAAGUGCAGCAAUGCAUUUAGCUUACCGGUACUAAUCGGCCGUGAGGCUUGACCAU